AGGAUCCUCUGUGGCUGCCGGCUGCCUGCCCAUCAUGUCAGAGAGCAGUGCCUUUGAGUGUCUCAGACCAUUAUGUGUGGUGUUGAUGAAGGAGCAGACCUUGGAGAGCAUCCAGGCUGUAGCGAGGAGCAUCCAGGAUCUAGAUACAGAGAGUCUUCAGGCAUUGCAACAAUAUGUCCUCUUCCCUCUUAGGAUCCUCCUUAAAAACCAAUCAAAACUUUCAACUGGAGUGUGUGAAGCUGGUGUACUGUGCAUGCAAAGCAUACUGGAGAAGACAACUCUCGUCAACUGGGAAAUGUUCU